UACGAAGGGGGCUAGCGUUGUUCGGAAUUACUGGGCGUAAAGGGCGCGUAGGCGGCCUGUUAAGUCGAACGUGAAAUCCCCGGGCUCAACCCGGGAACUGCGUCCGAUACUGGCAGGCUUGAAUCCGGGAGAGGGAUGUGGAAUUCCAGGUGUAGCGGUGAAAUGCGUAGAUAUCUGGAGGAAUACCGGUGGCGAAGGCGGCAUCCUGGACCGGCAUUGACGCUGAGGAGCGAAAGCCAGGGGAGCAAACGGG
rnacentral:rRNA from 1 species